UCUCCCUCUCAAAAAUAUAUAAAACAUUUUUAAAAAUUUUAAACUGGAUGUUUCUCGGGGAGGAUGAAAGGAAUGUGAGCUGAAAGCAGAGUGCAAAACAUGAUGAUUAUCCCACCGUUAGGGGCCCCAAUGGCAAAAAGGUUUUGAGAAUGAAAACGGCCUCCAUCCACCAAGCCUCCAGAGAAAGCAGCUGUUAACGCGAGCAGCUGGGCUGUGGUCGUGCUGGAAGGCCAACUUUCACAGAAGAGACUGAAGAUGCAAAAAGAAACCACAGAAGCAGAUGGAGGCUUCUGAUUGUGGUAGAUACACCUUACCCGUGGCAAAGCGGUGGCUUCUGCUCAAAGUGGAGACAGGGAGGCAAAGAGGAGGAGGAGAGGGCCUGCAGGUGGUGAACAGGCAGAUAAAUGCUCCACAUCACGUGGCACCGGUAACUGAAAUUUAAAACAAGAUCACACCGCCCCCCCAACCCCAUCAGGAUGGCCAAAACCCAAAACACCUGCGACAUCGAAUGUGGUGAGGUUAUGGAAUAAACAGGAGCAUUCGCUCACUGCUAGUGGGAGAGCAAAAACGGUACAGCCACGUUGGGAGACAGUCUGGAAGUUUCCUCCAAAACUAAACAUGCUCUUCCCGUACGAGCCAGAAACUGUGCCUCUUGGUAUUCGCCCAGAUGUUUUGAAAACCUGUCCACACAGAAAGCUGCGUGUGAACAUCUAACUGCCAGGGUGUGAAAGCGACCAAGGUGUCCUUCAACAGGCCCCUGCCUGGUGAGGACACAGUAAAAAGGCAACCAUCUACAAGCCAAGAAGAGAGCCCUCACCAGAACUUGACCUUGCUGGCACCUGAUCUCAGAUUCCCAGCCUCCAGAACGGUCAGAAAAUAAAUUUCUGUUGUUUAAGCCA